rnacentral:rRNA from 1 species
AUUGAACGCUGGCGGCAGGCCUAACACAUGCAAGUCGAGCGCGCGGCGGACGGGUGAGUAUUGUCUGGGAAACUGCCUGCUGGAGGGGGAUAACUCCUGGAAACGGUAGCUACUACCGCAUACCCUCAGAUGUGCCCAGAUGGGAUUAGCUAGUAGGUGGGGUAAUGGCUCACCUAGGCGACGAUCCCUAGCUGGUCUGAGAGGAUGACCAGCCACACUGGAACUGAGACACGGUCCAGACUCCUACGGGAGGCAGCAGUGGGGAAUAUUGCACAAUGGGCGCAAGCCUGAUGCAGCCAUGCCGCGUGUGUGAAGAAGGCCUUCGGGUUGUAAAGCACUUUCAGCGGGGAGGCGUUACCCGCAGAAGAAGCACCGGCUAACUCCGUGCCAGCAGCCGCGGUAAUUC